AGCGUAGGCGGACUUUUAAGUGAGAUGUGAAAUACCUGGGCUCAACUUGGGUGCUGCAUUUCAAACUGGAAGUCUAGAGUGCAGGAGAGGAGAAUGGAAUUCCUAGUGUAGCGGUGAAAUGCGUAGAGAUUAGGAAGAACACCAGUGGCGAAGGCGAUUCUCUGGACUGUAACUGACGCUGAGGCUGAAAGCGUGGGGAGCAAACA
rnacentral:rRNA from 1 species